AGUGAACGCUGGCGGUAGGCCUAACACAUGCAAGUCGAACGGCAGCACAGUAAGAGCUUGUUCUUACGGGUGGCGAGUGGCGGACGGGUGAGGAAUACAUCGGAAUCUACUUUUUCGUGGGGGAUAACGUAGGGAAACUUACGCUAAUACCGCAUACGACCUACGGGUGAAAGCAGGGGAUCUUCGGACCUUGCGCGAUUGAAUGAGCCGAUGUCGGAUUAGCUAGUUGGCGGGGUAAAGGCCCACCAAGGCGACGAUCCGUAGCUGGUCUGAGAGGAUGAUCAGCCACACUGGAACUGAGACACGGUCCAGACUCCUACGGGAGGCAGCAGUGGGGAAUAUUGGACAAUGGGCGCAAGCCUGAUCCAGCCAUACCGCGUGGGUGAAGAAGGCCUUCGGGUUGUAAAGCCCUUUUGUUGGGAAAGAAAAGCAGCAGGUUAAUACCCCGCUGCUCUGACGGUACCCAAAGAAUAAGCACCGGCUAACUUCGUG
rnacentral:rRNA from 1 species